rnacentral:lncRNA from 1 species
CAGUAGAAAUCGAUGAGAAGCAGCACUCACUAACGAUGUCGGAGUCACUGAUUCGAUGUCGACGGGAAGAAGAAAGGAGAAGACUAGGUUUAGUGUUUUCAAACUGACGGAUCUAAUCCCAAUUCCUGCAACAACAUAGAACCCUAGUUUUGCAACACAUCAGUUCCCAAUUCGAUGAACCCUAAUAUUGCUAACUGCUUUUUUCAUAUUUUUUUCUCUUCCAAUCGAAUAGCNNN